rnacentral:lncRNA from 1 species
CCUGGGUUCAACUCCUGGUACCAAAAAAAAAAAAAAAAAAGAAAAGAAAAAAAAAAGAAAGAAAGAAAAAGAAAAGUGUAAAAUUGCAACAAUUCCAAUUGUCCGGUGGACUGAGGAAAAGUGAGGAAGUGUAACAGGGGACUUGGACCUGGUCAGUCAGGGUCAGUAUCUCGAAAUAGGUGGUUGAACUGAGAUCUAAAAGGCAAGUGGCACUUGAAAGGCUGUGGGAGAGAGUGAGAGAGGAUAGGAAAAGCAUCGAGGGCAGAUGGAACAGCAGAUGCAAAGUCCCAUGGUGGGGAGGAGUGUGGGGGAUUUCAGAAGGUAGUUUUUUUUUUUGUUGGGGGGAUACCAGGGAUUGAACUCAGGGGCACUUGACCCCUGAGCCCCACCCCCAGCCCUAGUUUGGGUUUUAUUUAGAGACAGGGUCUCACUGAGUUGCUUAGGGCCUCGCUUUUUGAUGAGGCUGGCUUUGAACUCGCGAUCCUCCUGCCUCAGCCUCCCGAGCUGCUGGGAUGACAGGCACGCACCAGGGUGCCCGGCUCAGAAGGCGGUUUUUGAGUGACACUGGGAAUUAUCAUCUUCAAGUAAACGAAACUUCCCCAUGGGGACUUGGACAAGUGGCAUCGUGGGUGAGGGCCGAGCAGUGGGUUCCAGUCUUACCUUUCUGAUGCCUUAGCGACGGGCUCCUGGUCUGACUGCUUCACCUCUCAGAGCCUCAGUUUUCUUUUCUGAAAACAAAAACAAAACAAAUAACUAAAAUAAAACCCCAAAACAAAAAACUCUGCU